GCUGUCUCCAAUCGCGGCGGGUCCAGCCUAACCGGGUCAGGUCCGAGAGGAAGCAGCCCUGCGGUCACGGUACUCGGGUGCGUGCGGAGACAGCGUU
rnacentral:SRP_RNA from 1 species